GGGAGAGUGACCCGAGCGGCAAAGGGCGCACGCUGUAAACGUGCCGGGUAACUCCUACGGAGGUUCGAGUCCUCCCUCUCCCA
rnacentral:tRNA from 1 species